UACGAAGGGGGCUAGCGUUGCUCGGAAUCACUGGGCGUAAAGGGUGCGUAGGCGGGUCUUUAAGUCAGGGGUGAAAUCCUGGAGCUCAACUCCAGAACUGUCUUUGAUACUGAAGAUCUUGAGUUCGGGAGAGGUGAGUGGAACUGCGAGUGUAGAGGUGAAAUUCGUAGAUAUUCGCAAGAACACCAGUGGCGAAGGCGGGUCUCUGGGCAACUCCUGACGCUGAGGCGCGAAAGCGUGGGGAGCAAACGGG
rnacentral:rRNA from 1 species